rnacentral:rRNA from 1 species
AGAACGAACGCUGGCGGCAUGCCUAAUACAUGCAAGUCGAACGAACUCUUCGGAGUUAGUGGCGCACGGGUGCGUAACGCGUGGGAAUCUGCCCUUGGGUUCGGAAUAACAGUUGGAAACGACUGCUAAUACCGGAUGAUGACGAAAGUCCAAAGAUUUAUCGCCCAGGGAUGAGCCCGCGUAGGAUUAGCUAGUUGGUGAGGUAAAGGCUCACCAAGGCGACGAUCCUUAGCUGGUCUGAGAGGAUGAUCAGCCACACUGGGACUGAGACACGGCCCAGACUCCUACGGGAGGCAGCAGUAGGGAAUAUUGGACAAUGGGCGAAAGCCUGAUCCAGCAGUGCCGCGUGAGUGAAGAAGGCCUUGGUGUAAAGCUCGUUUACCCGGGAAGAUAAUGACUGUACCGGGAGAAUAAGCCCCGGCUAACGUCCGUGCCAGCAGCCCGC